rnacentral:lncRNA from 1 species
UCACAGGACCAAUGAUGAAUUAGCUAAUAAAUUAUUCUCAUUAAUCAGGUCCACAUGCUUAGAGUAAGAUGAAAAUCGACUUCCAUCUGCCAUUAAACAGCACUCACUGUCCACCUGUUCUGCUCAUGUAUGCCUGAUUUCUUCUGCAUUUGUCUUGUAGUCAUGAGUGAUGAGGUUGCAGAGAUGGAGUACAACAGCAUUUAUAUAGAAACGACUGAAUGGUGAAUUACAACAUUCAAGACCAUAAACUGUCCUCGGCAGAAACCUGUAUUUGUCCACUGUAAAAGAAUCUUAUCAAAAUUACUGCAGAAGUGUGACUUCUCAGCCUCUAUGAAGAAAACAUGACAUUUUUGAUGAUUAAGGAUGGUCACAGGCAGAGAUGCUUUAAAGUGUUAGUUGGCCUGAAGCACAUUCCUGUCACAGUGCCAUCUCCUUGGAGUACUUAUUGCUUUGUGGAUCCAGUCACAUGUGUGGAUACUCCUGACUCCAAAUUUGUUUUCUCCCAUCAAAACCUUCAAAUUUCUGUCUUGGGAAACCAAAAGUGUUGGUCAAGCUAAUACAAGGUCAACUACAAAGGGACAGCUGAGAAAACAUUGAACAGGUUCUUUGGGGAAUUGCAAGUGAAGAGAAGGACAUAGCAAUGAGAUCGUAAG